ACACGCUACAAUGGGAAGGGACAAUAGGUUGCGAAGCCGCGAGGCGGAGCCAAUCCAGCAAAACUUCCCUCAGUUCAGAUUGCAGGCUGCAACUCGCCUGCAUGAAGUUGGAGUUGCUAGUAAACGCAGGUCAGCCAUACUGCGUUGAAUACGUUCCCGGGGCUU
rnacentral:rRNA from 1 species